rnacentral:lncRNA from 1 species
CAAAGUCCAGAACUGAAAAGGGUUAUACAGUCUAAUGAUUUUUUUGAUGAGGCCUCAAAAGCUGUUCGAUCUCCAUUCAUGAUAAAAGACCAUUGUAAAUCCAAGCUUAACAUGACGGAAUCUGUCCAUUUUAAGUUAAGGGACUCUCUAGGUCACUCAGUGGGCUCCUAUUCAUAUGUACCCAUUGAUAAAGUGCUAAAAAAUUACUGUUCUCUUGAGGAUAUUUGGGAUCAAAUUCUGAAUCGGAAUAAUCCAGAGAGAGACAGCGAAUUUUUAAGAGACUACUGUGAUGGAGAAAUUUUCAAACAACACAUGUUUUUUAAAGAUCACCCAACUUCACUGCGGCUGCAUUUCUAUGAAGAUGAAUUCGAAGUAGUUAACCCAUUGAGGUCAAAAAGAACCAAGCACAAGCUAUGCGCAUUCUAUUAUACUGUAGGCAAUUUGGAUGGCAAGUAUAGAUCACAGCAGAGACAUAUUCAUUUAGCAUUGUUGGUGCGUUAUUCAUAUGUUAAACAGUGUGGUUUGGAUGUCAUCUUAAAACCUUUGCUAAAUGAUCUUAAAAAACUGGCAACUGAUGGUUUUACAGUAACUGUUGAUGAAACUGAACACACAUUUCAUGCUGCUCUUGCAACUUUAUCUGGUGCUAACUUGUCAGCUCACAUGAUCGGUGGAUUUACCAUGUCAUUUAACUCUGGUAGCAUUUGUCGUUAUUGCAUGGCUUCUUAUGGAGAUAUAAAACUAAUGUUUGAGGAAGACAGCUUUGUUUUAAGAACAUCUGAGGUUCAUCAGUGUCAUCUUGCCCGCAUUCAACAAAUUCCUGAUGACAAAGUGACUUAUGGUGUGAAUGGUCCUUCACCUUUUGAAGAGUUACCAUAUUUUGAAGUGACAAAAGCUUUACCACCGGACAUAAUGCACGAUUUGUUAGAGGGUGUAAUUCCACUUGUUAUGAAGCUAGUUAUUGGCAAAGCUCAUACAGAGAAACAUAUAAUUAUAAGAGAAAUAAAUGAAGAACUACAAAAACUGUGCAUUGGUCAAAAUGACACGGUAAACAAACCAGUACAGUUAUCAAAAAGACUGCAGCAUGUUGGGAUUACUGGAUCUGCUUCUCAAAAGUGGUGCCUUUUCAGACUUUUACCUUUUUAUUACUCCAAAGUGUCAUUACUUAAUUCAUUAUUCAAGACUGAUACAAAUGUAUGGGCCCCUGCGUUUGCUAUGGUGCAUGAGAUUUGAGGCCAAGCACCAAUAUUUUAAAAUAGUUGCCCAUAACUGCAGAAAUUUUGUAAACAUUGCUACAACACUGAGCAACAGACACCAGUUCAGACAGUGCUGGGAGUUUUGUGGGAGUAUGCUGGGUGAAUUUGAGAAAGUCCUGGGAAAAAGUGUGACCACUCCAUUUUUAUCUUUACCUGUGGAGCUACAGAGAGCCCUGA